rnacentral:rRNA from 1 species
UACGGGAGAUGCGAGCGUUAUCCGGAAUCACUGGGCGUAAAGCGUCUGUAGGUGGUUUGUUAAGUCUGUUGUUAAAAACUGAAGCUCAACUUCAGAGGUGCGGCAGAAACUGGCAAACUUGAGUAUGUUAGGGGUAGGAGGAAUUUCUAGUGUAGCGGUGAAAUGCGUAGAUAUUGGAAAGAACACCAACAGCGAAGGCACUUUACUGGGCCAGUACUGACACUCAGAGACGAAAGCUAGGGGAGCAAACAGG